GGCGUGAUCCCCUUUGGUAGCGCACUUGACUGGGGGUCAAGGGGUCGCAGGUUCAAAUCCUGUCAGCC
rnacentral:tRNA from 1 species